rnacentral:RNase_P_RNA from 1 species
AGGAAAGUCCGAGCUCCAUAGGGCAGGGUGCCGGGUAACACCCGGGCGGCGAAAGCCGACGGAAAGUGCCACAGAGAACAGACCGCCUGCAACCGGCGCGUGAGCGUCCGGCUGCCGGUAAGGGUGAAACGGUGGGGUAAGAGCCCACCGCCCGUGCGGGUGACCGCCGGGGCACGGCAAACCCCACCCGGAG